AGUUGUGAGUCUCCGGAGUCCCUGGGAAGGUGCCCCAGGGACAGGACUUCCUUUGCAGGGCCCCGAGGAUUGAUGAGAAUCCCCCCAUCCCCAGCCAUCCAGAGGAUAAGCAGGUGCCAUUGGAAACCUGGAAAGGCCAUCAGAUCUACUGGGGCUGGUGGUCGUAGAUCCCGAUGUGGAUUCUGGGAAGGAACUCCAGUUCUCUACAAUAGCAGCUCAACCUCACACAAGCCGACGUUCUCGUUCUCAGCUCUCCUCUGAUGAAACACUUGGAUCUUUCUGCAAGAAUUUUCUAAGCCUCCAGGCUGGUCUCUGGUCGAGCACAGGCUGGAAACCGGCCGAGGCCCCAGAAUCUGCUAUGGAGAACAACGGAGAAGGUUUUCACCUACAGAGCCGCCGCCUUAUCUCUCGCAGAAGACCUCUCUGCAUUCCCAGCCACUGGCGACCACCAACCCAAACAAGCAAGCCGAGAGACUCUCAUCCCUGCUGGACACAGCUAGAGCUUCUCUCCCUUUCUCUCCCUUUGGCCUCGGCCCAAUCUACCCAUAUGCCCCCACUUUGUUCUCAGCCCUUCUGUGGCUCCCAUAGUACGACAUGGGUGCCCAAGAACCUGAGAACCAGAAGAGCUAGCUCCGACUCCCUGCAGGACCUCAGACUGUGUUCCUCCACCUCUGAAGCAGGGUCCGGCGGCUUCACAUAGCCUGAUGCCUGACCAGCGCGGUUGUGGGGAGAGCACUGUCAAACUUCCCGUGCCUCUGUCUUCCCCGAGUGGCCCUAGCCCCCCAGGCACACAUCAACCGGACAGCUGGUCUGGGACCCCCACACGUCAAUCAAACAGGUGCUGCCAUCUAUUGUACAAGUAGAAGGAGGUGAGAAGCUUAUACACAUAGGGUUGUAGGAACAGGAAAAUGUGAGAUUGUUCUUGGGAGGGAGCCAGAGUCCAGAGCCAAUCUCUACGGAAACUCAUCCUGUCUACGCUGCUGAGCCGAGCACCAGAAUGGUCUUUGUGCUCCCUUGUUUGAUGCUGUGUUCCUCCCAGUAGGUUUUCACUUCAGCAACUAAGGACAUGGCUGAAUGACUGAACUCCAGGCAGGUGUGUGUCACAGAGACAAUCUUCAUUAAAAGAACAGCUUCGUUGUUAGGACACAAGGAUAGCCAGGGCUGGCCAAUCAGAAACAAAGCCAAGAAGUAUGUGCCUUGCUGAGGGAAAGAGCCCCUAAAAGCUGACAGGGGAGGAGUAUGCCAGAGCAAGUCUCUGGAACUGGGGUAAUGGUAACUCAUUUAAGUUUUCUGAGUCCUGGGGCUCUGUGACAACCUGUCCUCACAGCCCUGACUUACUGUAUUCCUGAGUGAGUUGAGAGGAAUUCAAUUUAUGUGUUUCCGGACAAUUUACUUGAUUGUCAGCAAAACACCACAGUUGUGUAUGAGCCACUGGAUGGUAGUGGUAAUGGUUUCUUUGUUCCAUUUGCAGUCCAGUCCUGAUGGAAAGCCAGCUGGUCCAUUACAGGACAGUGAGCAAGAGCAAAGGGCACAGUGUCUGAGGGAGGUGUCUGUCAGAGUACUAAAGCGUCCUGCGAGAGGAGGUAACGAGGAGGAGGUAACGAGCUACCAGCUCCACCAUGCCAGCUGGCAGGACCUGGGAGAGGUGGAAACAGCUUGGGGUUGCAGAGGAGCUGCAAAGUUUCUGGUGCAGAGGAAAAUGGGGGUCAACAGUGAACACCAGGCUUGCUUCUUGUUCAGUCUUGGUAAGUUAACUUUCUCCCCAGGGCCUCAUCCACCUCUUCUGCAGAGUGCCUUACUGGAAACCAUGAUCUCUGUGGACCCAAAUAGACCAUUAAUUUAUUUUAAUGAGACUUUAGUGUUUCAUUAUGAAUA